ACUUUUCUUGGUCACAAAAUCCAAAUGUAGGUGGUCCUAGCUAUAGCCAGCAAAAUCCAAGGCCUAACCCUAUGAUAAACAACCCACCAAGCUUCAAUAAUAAUGAAAAGAAACUUAAUUCUCUAGAGAAAAGUUUAGAUGUCUUGGCCAAAUCCAAUACUGACACCAAUGCCACACUGAGCAAUUUCAUGCAAACCAUA
rnacentral:lncRNA from 1 species